GACGAACGCUGGCGGCGUGCUUAACACAUGCAAGUCGAACGGAGCACCCCAGAAGGAGUUUUCGGACAACGGAUGGGAAUGCUUAGUGGCGGACUGGUGAGUAACGCGUGAGGAACCUGCCUUCCAGAGGGGGACAACAGUUGGAAACGACUGCUAAUACCGCAUGACGCGUUGGAGCCGCAUGACUCCGACGUCAAAGAUUUAUCGCUGGAAGAUGGCCUCGCGUCUGAGUAGCUAGUUGGUGAGGUAACGGCCCACCAAGGCGACGAUCAGUAGCCGGACUGAGAGGUUGGCCGGCCACAUUGGGACUGAGAUACGGCCCAG
rnacentral:rRNA from 1 species